CUGGUUGAUCCUGCCAGUAGUCAUAUGCUUGUCUCAAAGACUAAGCCAUGCAUGUCUAAGUAUAAAUGUUAUACAGUGAAACUGCGAAUGGCUCAUUAAAACAGUUAUAGUUUAUUUGAUAAUCGAAUUUACAUGGAUAACCGUGGUAAUUCUAGAGCUAAUACAUGCUGGUUAGCCUGACUUCGAGGAAGGGCUGUAUUUAUUAGAUAACAAACCAAUAUUCUUCGUGUCUAUUGUGAUGACUCAUAGUAACUGAUCGAAUCGCAUGGUCCUUGACCGCGAUAAAUCAUUCAAGUUUCUGCCCCAUCAGCUUUCGAUGGUAGUGUAUUGGACUACCAUGGCUUUCACGGGUAACGGAGGAUUAGGGUUCGAUUCCGGAGAGGGAGCCUGAGAAACGGCUACCACAUCUAAGGAAGGCAGCAGGCGCGUAAAUUACCCAAUCCUGACUCAGGGAGGUAGUGACAAGAAAUAACGGACCGAGGCUUUUGCUUCGGGAUUGCAAUGAGUAGAAUUUAAACCCCUUUACGAGGAUCAAUUGGAGGGCAAGUCUGGU
rnacentral:rRNA from 1 species